AACCUUAUGGACCUGCGGGCGUAUACCUGCGGAAGGAUCAUUACACAAUACAAUAUGAAGGCUGUCCGCAGCUGGAGUAUUUUAUUACCCUUGUCUUUUGCGCACUUGUUGUUUCCUGGGCGGGUUCGCUCGCCACCAGGACCACCAAAUAAACCUUUUUUAUGCAGUUGCAAUCAGCGUCAGUACAAACAAUGUAAAUCAUUUACAACUUUCAACAAUGGAUCUCAGAUCGGAAGAGCA
rnacentral:misc_RNA from 1 species